GUCAGGAUGGCCGAGUGGUCUAAGGCACCAGACUCCAUUUCAGGUCUCCGGGUGGAGGCGUGGGUUCAAAUCCCACUUCUGACA